GGGGCUAGCGGCCCAUGGACACCAAAGCCAGACUCGCGGUUUUAUAUUUUGUUUUUCUACGAAUGGAAAAUUUUGGCGCUUAAGAUGGGAUGGGAGUUUCGAUUCGUACUAAGCAGGGUGACAAUUUAGUGAUUUACAUCACAAACCUGUUGCUCGCUUGUUCGAAAUUUGACAAGUUUAAGAAAGAAACAAGAAAGCUGCUCCAUACUUCUCGUAAAAACUUCGUUAUGGUAAUCUUGCUGGUGUUUUUUUUUUUUUGGAUGGAUAUAAAUUGUUUUUGUAUAUCUGUGUAUUGUCUCUUUUAUCUUGUUGGUUUCGUGUGAAAUUUGGUUAUGUUUUGAUUGAAAUUGGAGAUGACUUUUGAUUA